AUUGAACGCUAGCGGCGUGCCUAACACAUGCAAGUCGAACGGCAGCGCAGAGAGCUUGCUCUCUGGCGGCGAGUGGCGGACGGGUGAGUAACGCGUAGGAAUCUACCUUGUAGUGGGGGAUAGCUUGGGGAAACUCGGGGUAAUACCGCAUAAUCUCUAAGGAGCAAAGCGGGGGAUCUUCGGACCUCGCGCUGCAAGAUGAGCCUGCGUUGGAUUAGCUAGUUGGUGGGGUAAAGGCCUACCAAGGCGACGAUCUAUAGCUGGUCUGAGAGGACGACCAGCCACACUGGGACUGAGACACGGCCCAGACUCCUACGGGAGGCAGCAGUGGGGAAUAUUGGACAAUGGGGGAAACCCUGAUCCAGCAAUGUCGCGUGUGUGAAGAAGGCCUUAGGGUUGUAAAGCACUUUCGGUGGGAAAGAAAAAUACAAGACUAAUACGCUUGAGAAUUGACGUUACCCACAGAAGAAGCACUGGCUAACUCUGUGCCAG
rnacentral:rRNA from 1 species